GGAUGGGAUGCUACUGU
rnacentral:tRNA from 1 species